CAGAGCUUGCUCUGUGGAUCAGUGGCGAACGGGUGAGUAACACGUGAGCAACCUGCCCCUGACUCUGGGAUAAGCGCUGGAAACGGCGUCUAAUACUGGAUAUGUGACGUGACCGCAUGGUCUGCGUCUGGAAAGAAUUUCGGUUGGGGAYGGGCUCGCGGCCUAUCAGCUUGUUGGUGAGGUAAUGGCUCACCAAGGCGUCGACGGGUAGCCGGCCUGAGAGGGUGACCGGCCACACUGGGACUGAGACACGGCCCAGACUCCUACGGGAGGCAGCAGUGGGGAAUAUUGCACAAUGGGCGGAAGCCUGAUGCAGCAACGCCGCGUGAGGGAUGACGGCCUUCGGGUUGUAAACCUCUUUUAGCAGGGAAGAAGCGAAAGUGACGGUACCUGCAGAAAAAGCGCCGGCUAACUACGUGCCAGCAGCCGCGGUAAUACGUAGGGCGCAAGCGUUAUCCGGAAUUAUUGGGCGUAAAGAGCUCGUAGGCGGUUUGUCGCGUCUGCUGUGAAAUCCGGAGGCUCAACCUCCGGCCUGCAGUGGGUACGGGCAGACUAGAGUGCGGUAGGGGAGAUUGGAAUUCCUGGUGUAGCGGUGGAAUGCGCAGAUAUCAGGAGGAACACCGAUGGCGAAGGCAGAUCUCUGGGCCGUAACUGACGCUGAGGAGCGAAAGGGUGGGGAGCAAACAGGCUUAGAUACCCUGGGUAGUCCACCCCGUAAACGUUGGGAACUAGUUGUGGGGUCCAUUCCA
rnacentral:rRNA from 1 species